rnacentral:lncRNA from 1 species
CUGUUACUCUGUUUAUAAUCAAAGUUCAUUAAAGAAUACUUCUGUUACUCUGUUUAUAAUCAUAGUUUAUGGAAGAAUACUUCUGAUACUCUGUUUAUAAUCAUAGGUUAUUUAAGAGUACAGCUGUUUCUCUGUAUAUAAUAAUAGUUUAUUAAAGAGUACUUCUGGUACUCUGUUUAUAAUCAUAGUUUAUUGAAGAGUACUUCUGUGCAUCUGUUCAUAAUCAAAAUUUAUUAAAGAAUACUUCUGUUACUCUGUUUAUAAUCAUAGUUUAUCGGAGAGUACCUCUAGUACUCUGUUAAUAAUAAUAGUUUAAUAAAGAGUACUUCUGGUACUCUGUUAAUGCUAUUAGUUUAUUAAAGAGUACCUUCAGUAUUCUGUUUAUAAUCAUAGUUUAUUAAAGAGUCCUUCUGUUACCCUGUAUAUAAUAACAGUUUAUUGGAGAGUACUUCUGGUACUGUGUUUGUAAUCAUAGUUUAUUUAAGAUUACUUCUGUGCGUCUGUUUAUAAUCAUAGUUUAAUAAAGAGUACAGCUGGUACUCUGUUUAUAAUGAUAGUUUAUUAAAGAGUACUUCUGUUACUAUGUUUGAAAUCACAGUUUAUUAAAGAGUACUUCUGUUACUCUGUUUAUAAUAAUAGUUAAUUAGAGAGUACUUCUGUUACUCUGUUUAUAAUAAAAGUUUAUUAGAGUACAGCUGUUACUCUGUUAAUAAUAAUAGUUUAUUUAAGAGUAUUUCUGUAACUCUGUUUAUAAUAAUAGUUUAUUGAAGAGUACUUCUAAGACUGUUUAUAAUAACAGUUUAUUAAAGAGUACUUCUGUUACUCUGUUUUUAAUCAUAGUUUAUUAAAGAGUACUUCUGUUUCUAUGUUUAAAAUCAUAGCUUAUUUAAGAGUACUUCUUAGACUCAGUUUAUAAUAGUUUAUUGGAGAGCACUUCUGUUACUCUGUUUAUAAUCAUAGUUUACUAAAGAGCACUUCUGUUACUCUGUUCAUAAUCAUAGUUUAUGAAAGAACUUCUAAGACUGUUUAUAAUAAUAGUUUAUUGGAGAGUACUUCUGGUACUCUGUUUAUAAUAAUAGUUUAUUAAAGAGUACUUCUGUUACUCUGUUUAUAAUAGUUUAUUAAAGAGUACAGCUGUUACUCUGUUAAUUAAAAUAGUUCAUUUAAGAGUAUUUCUGUAACUCUGUUUAUAAUCAUAGGUUAUUUAAGGGUACAGCUGUUUCUCUGUAUAUAAUAAUAGUUUAUUAAGGAGUACUUCUGGUACUGUGUUUAUAAUCAUAGUUUAUUAAAGAGUACUUCUGUGCAUCUGUUCAUAAUCAAAAUUUAUUAAAGAAUACUUCUUUUACUCUGUUUAUAAUCAUAGUUUAUUAGAAAGUAC